AUUGAACGCUGGCGGCAGGCCUAACACAUGCAAGUCGAGCGAGCGGCGGACGGGGGAGUAAUGUAUGGGGACUGCCCGAUAGAGGGGGAUAACUACUGGAAACGGUAGCUAAUACCGCAUACUAUCGGAUAACCCAUAUGGGAUUAGCUAGUCGGUGAGGUAAUGGCUCACCUAGUCGACUAUCCCUAGCUGGGCUGAGAGGAUGAUCAGCCACACUGGGACUGAGACACGGCCCUGACUACUACGGUGGCAGCAGUGGGGAAUCUUGCACAAUGGGCGCAAGCCUGAUGCAGCCAUGCCGCGUGGAUGAAGAAGGCACUGUGGUUGUAAAGGUCUUUCGGUCGGGAGGCGUUACCGACAGAAGAAGCACCGGCUAACUCCGUGCCAGCAGCAGCGGUAAUUC
rnacentral:rRNA from 1 species